rnacentral:misc_RNA from 1 species
ACUAUACUGGGACGCAAUUAGAGAAGCAAAAUGGAGAAGUUGGAGGAUGCUGGGAGGCAGAGGUCGGUACGAGAGAGCUAGAACAUAGGGAGCAAGCCAGUCACCGAGAAAAGAGGAGACAGGGGGAAAGAGAAUAAGAAUGAAAAGCUUGCAUGCAGCGAACAAGUUGAACGGAAAAGUGAAGCCGGUGGUAGGAAUUUUCGCAUCGCUACCUCUCAACGACGAAUCGAUGCAUACGAACGCGAUGGUGGUUUGGUGGGAAAAAGGAGGAAAGAAAGUUCGAC